UGAAAACAUACAUAUGUAUUCGGGGCCAGUACAAACCAUUAUCUGGAAAUCUAUUCAUAAACAGGCCUAUACAUAGGACACGAAGUCACACAUUUAGGCUGGAAGAAAAGAGAUUUCAUCUAAGGCGAACAAAAGGUUUUUUUACAGUAAGAGCAAUAAGGAUAUGGAAUUCUCUGCCUGAAGAGGUGAUUUUGUCAGAGUCUAUACAGAUGUUUAGAUUGCAAUUGGAUAAAUACUUGCAAAAACAUAACAUGCAGGGGUAUAAUUUCUAAUUAGUAGGGUAAUAGCUGCUUGAUCCAAGGAGACAUCUGACUGCUAUUUUGGGGUCAAG